CUCCCUCUCCCUUUCCCUCUCCCUCUCACGAGCUCCCUUGCCCUCGCCGUCUCCCUCUCCCUCUCUCAAGCUCCCGCACCCUCACACCUCCUUCAACAGCACCGACUCUUUAGCAGCGUUGCUUCCACCGGCUCUCUCCCUCCCUCUCUCGAGCUACUAGUUCCUGAGAGAAGAGCUGUCAAAAAUAGAUGAAAGCUGGACAGCUGCAUGUUCUGAUUCUUUGCCUUACGUUGUCCAUAUUCUGACAUCGAAGGAUCGUGAAGGUGAAGCCCAAGUUUUGAAGGAGCAGAGUGAUAUUAUCGAGGAUGUUGUGGAUGAAGUUGUGCAUGCAUAUCAUGGUGGUUUCAACAAAGCAUAUCAAAAUUAUUGCAAUCCAACUCAACAAAGCCUGGAUAUGUGCUUCAAAUUGCAGUUACAUUAUGUGCUCCAAGUAGAAGAAGUAUUUGUAUAUGAUGCAGUAAAAACUACUGAAGAAACUCCAAUGGAUGUAUGAACACAAGUCAUUGAAAAGGCGAAUCACCUUAAUAUAAAAGCAACUCCAAUGGAUGUAUGGACAUAUGUCAUUGAAUUUUUGAAUCAGCUCAAUAUAAAGGUAUUAUCAAACAAUUUUUACUCCAAUGGUUGUAAGAGACCUUAUUUGCAUUUAUUUAAGAAAGUUGUGAAACCAAAGGUUUAUUCCUUUUAGUUUAGAGGAGUUAUAUGAUACUCAGGCUGUGCAUGACACUUGAUAUGCAGGCACUCAGAAAUUAUAGAUGUGGCAUAUAUUAACUCAAAUAAAACUGCUAGAUUGUGCAGUCCACUGUAUCUAAGUCAAAAUCCUAAGACCAUAUUGGUUGAACGCUUCUAACCUCUGAUUCUUGGAUACUUGUUUGUGGAGAUAGCUAGGACCAUUGGAUAUGUUUCAUUUUUAUCUCGGUACUUGAUUUUUUUGGCAUAUGAUUUUUUAUUUUUUAUUUUGGCAAUACACCCAUGUUUCCCUUCUAUCCUUUCUUUUUAUCUCGGUACUUGAUUCAUUGCAUUUCUUUUGCUCGAUUCACAUGAAUAUAUUUUAAGCUUGUUAUAAUCCCUCAUUAUCAUGAUCUAAGACUUAUCUGUUUUUUUCCCUUAUCUAAUUUAAUUCCCACAAUGCAGUUCUUAUCAUUACU